rnacentral:rRNA from 1 species
CCUACGGGAGGCAGCAGUGAGGAAUAUUGGUCAAUGGCCGGAAGGCUGAACCAGCCAUGCCGCGUGAAGGUCAGUGCCCUAUGGGCGUUAAACUUCUUUUGUGCGGGAGCAAUACUGGUCACGUGUGGCCAGACGAGAGUACCGUACGAAUAAGCAUCGGCUAACUCCGUGCCAGCAGCCGCGGUAAUACGGGGGAUGCAAGCGUUAUCCGGAUUUAUUGGGUUUAAAGGGUGCGUAGGCUGUGAGGUAAGUCAGCGGUGAAAUGCCCCCGCUCAACGGGGUGAAGUGCCAUUGAUACUGCCUGGCUGGAAUGCGGAUGCCGUGGGAGGAAUGUGUGGUGUAGCGGUGAAAUGCAUAGAUAUCACACAGAACACCGAUUGCGAAGGCAUCUCACGAAGCCGCGAUUGACGCUGAUGCACGAAAGCGUGGGUAUCAAACAGGAUUAGAUACCCGUGUAGUC